rnacentral:rRNA from 1 species
CAGCAGCCGCGGGAAAACGAAGGGGGCUAGCGUUGUUCGGAUUUACUGGGCGUAAAGGGCGCGUAGGCGGGCUGAUAAGUCAGGGGUGAAAUCCCAAGGCUCAACCUUGGAACUGCCUUUGAUACUGUUUGUCUUGAGUUCGAGAGAGGUAAGUGGAACUGCGAGUGUAGAGGUGAAAUUCGUAGAUAUUCGCAAGAACACCAGUGGCGAAGGCGGCUUACUGGCUCGAAACUGACGCUGAGGCGCGAAAGCGUGGGGAGCAAACAGGAUUAGAUACCCCCGUAGUCCCUGUCUCUUAUAA